AUUACUAUUUAGAACUAGUAAACGGUACAUGGUUGGAUAAAAUAAAGCUGAGCAAGAGAAUUUUUAAAUAUUUCUUAAAGUCAGCAAAGGAGAUUCUCACUGUUCAACACUCAAAUUGCAUCCAAAACUCUCUGCAAAUCUGAAACUAACCUUAGUAACAUGAAAAUGGGGCAUACACUUGCCAAGAAUUCAGUCUGCUUCCUAAACAAUCUUAGUUCCUAAUCCUUUAAACCCUUUUAUCUUUCCUCCCUACUAAUUUUCUUUAAACCAUAAUCUCUGAUCUUCCAAUUAAAUAAACAACCCCAGAAAGCAAAGCCCUUCGAAUGCAAAGCAAUUAG
rnacentral:lncRNA from 1 species